AGCAGGCAAAGCAGGUUUACGUUGGUUCGGACGAGCAGCCGAAGACCUAUGAGCAGCCUGCACCGUAUGCGAUGCUCGUUGCUUCCCUUAUC
rnacentral:misc_RNA from 1 species